UCCCUAGUGGCUCAGAUGGUAAAGCAUCUGCCUACAAUGCAGAAGACCCAGGUUCAAUCCCUGGUUUGGGAA
rnacentral:tRNA from 1 species